UAUUUUUGUCAAGAAUGUUUGUAAACUGAAAUUGUGUGCUUACAUUUAUGUUGGUGUUGUAAUCUGUGUUGGUGUUGUUGUUGUAUCUAAAUUUCCCCACUUUUCAUUGCGACAGGUACAAAUUGCUUGCAUUAUAUUAUUGCAUGUUACUGCUGUACAGGCUGUGCGAGACGCAGCAAGGAGAGACCAGGCUCAGGCAGAAGACAACACCAUGGACCUCAACACAUUCCACACCCGGUGGAGAUGGACGAGUGACCUGACCUGAGAUUUCGUUUUCUUUUCAGAUCUACACCUCCACCACCAUCAUAUAUGUCAAUGCCUCACAGCUGUGAAGCUGCCACUCCCUCCCAAACUCAUGGCACAGCACCCAGCCAUUCGGAAGAUUUGAGGCACAAACAUCAUCCAUUCAAAAACAUUUGGAAUGUCCUGGAGGAACACAAGAAAACCCUUUUGAGGAUAACAGAAUUCAUAAAGUACAUGCCAUGGAAGAGCACAUGGGGCCAAUGACAAGGAAGAUGGAGGUUAUGGAGAGGAAGUCCAUGACUUUGAAGGCUGCCAUGGCUUUCAACAUGCCACGACCUGCUGUUGGUCCAGUGCAGUAGAGAGCAUAAGCUGGUGGAGCUAGCCAGAAGCCUGGCUCAACCAGAAAUGAGAAACCAAAUGACCUUGGGAAAGCCUGGGAUGGGCGAAUACGGCAGCUGCUGUCCGCCGUGGGUGGCUACCCACACACCAUGUCCUGGGACAUUACAGCCAGAGGAGGAAUAGAACGUGCAUGCAUUCCAGAACCUGACCCUUUGCAAAGUUAUAACAGAGACCUACACGCAGAACUUCUCUGUCCUGCAGGAAGCGAAUAUUGAGAAUAGCAUUGGGCAUAUUCUGAAAUUUGUAAUACACAGAUGGUAAAUUAAACUUCAGUGUGUCUUUUAUCAAUCAAUGAAUAGUCACAAUAAGCUAAUUAAACGAAACAUUGGUAGGCUACUAAGUUGGUUUAAACUUUUUGUUUCUUAUUCUUUUUCGGUCAGCUGGUCCUCAAGACUGAAAACACACACCAACAUUUUUAUUUUCUGUAUUUUAUUUAUAGUUUUUAUUUAUUUAUUUAUUUAACUUUGAGCCUUGAUGGCAUUUUAUGAUGA